GCUAUACGGAUUCGAACCGUAGACCUUCUCGGUAAAACAGAUCAAACGGAUUAUUAUUGAAAUGAUUUAAACUGUUUCAAAGACCCAACAUGCAUUUUUUUUGCAUUGGGCUCUUUCAUAAACUGA
rnacentral:rRNA from 1 species